rnacentral:misc_RNA from 1 species
GAAAUGCGAUACGUAGUGUGAAUUGCAGAAUUCAGUGAAUCAUCGAAAUCUUGAACGCACCUUGCGCUUGUGGUCACCCACAAGCAUGCCUGUUUGAGUGUCGUCUUUUCAUUCUCACCCAAACGAGGGAAAAGGACAACAUCUUUCUCUGUGUUGAGGGUGGAGCUGAGCAUUUGUUCGCAAAGAGAGCAAUUGCUUGAAAUGGAGGGGGGGACGAUGAAGGUGGCGCUGAGUGCUUUCCGCGGCUCCGCAGACCUCCUGGAUGUGCUAACAUUCUGUCAUCCAGUUUGGCCUUGCACAGAAGGAACUGAGGACCUCUUUGCCCCUUUGCCCCUUUUGAACGGAAUCUGUGUCUGUCUUCCAACCUUGCGACCUCAAAUCAGGUAGGGCUACCCGCUGAAUUUAA